rnacentral:rRNA from 1 species
GCGCGUAAAUUGCCCGAAUCCUGACACGGGGAGGUAGUGACAAGAAAUAACAAUACAGGGCUAUUUUAGUCUUGUAAUUGGAAUGAGUACAAUUUACAUCUCUUCACGAGGAUCAAUUGGAGGGCAAGUCUGGUGCCAGCAGCCGCGGUAAUUCCAGCUCCAAUAGCGUAUAUUAAAGUUGUUGCAGUUAAAACGCUCGUAGUCGGAUUUCGGGGCGGGGCCGCCGGUCUGCCGAUGGGUAUGCACUGGCGGGCGCGUCCUUCCUUCCGGAGACUGGCCCUACUCUUAACUGAGCGGGGUCGGGAGUCGGAUCGUUUACUUUGAAAAAAUCAGAGUGUUUCAAGCAGGCAGCUCGCUCUUGCAUGGAUUAGCAUGGGAUAAUGAAAUAGGACUUUGGUGCUAUUUUGUUGGUUUCGAACACCGAAGUAAUGAUUAACAGGGACAGUCAGGGGCACUCGUAUUCC